AUGAAAACCGCUCUCGUUCUCUUGCUGACAUCAGCCUUACAACAAGCCGCGUUUUGGGGGACUAAUGGAGACCUCGUGUCCAAAGCCCCCUGCAGACCCGGCUUCUCGCAAAGUUCCUACUCUGUGCUCAUUUCAAGGGAUGUACUGCAAAGCCAGAGCAUAAUUAAAGAUAACAGGCUGAAGGGCAUCAGACUGUCUCUGCUCCAAUGUCCCACCGUACUGGCUGGAACACACAUAGUCACCCAUCUGCCUCUGGAGCCAUGUGUGUGAGUGAGUGUGUGCAUGUGUUUUGAGUGUGUAUGCCUGCAUCCGCAUCAGUGUGUGUGUGUGUGUGUGUGUGUGUGUGUGUGUGUGUGUGUGUGUGUGUGUGUGAGAGUGUGAGAGUGUGAGAGUGUGAGUGAGUGAGUGAGUGAGUGAGUGAAGGGGUCAUUCUCCCCCCAGGCAGGGCAGAGUGCCUACGGCCAUNNNNNNNNNNACAGAGAGGGCAGAAGAGAGUGAGGGAGAUUCACACCCAGAGCUGUAAAAAAGCAAUUUUGAGGCUUAUGUUCCCUUAAAAUGGUUGUCUGCUGUCACUAUCAUUAUCAGAGAGAGAAAGACCUUCUCACUUCUGGUCAGUCUGUACACGCCUCCAGCAACCCCUGAAAUCACAACAACCCAGCUCUCCAAAACUGCUGACUAUUAUUAGGCCUGGGAGAGAUGAGUUCUCAGGGGUGUGGCUGAAGUCUUUUUUUUUUUUAAAUCUCUGCUGCAAAUUGAUACAUUUCCAGCUACGGCUCCUUAUUGCAUUCCAGGCAGAGAAAGAGGAUGUUUCUCUUGAAAUGUUUAAAAAAUAAUAAUAAUAUUCAGACCUCAUGGUUUUGGUCUAUGAGUUUUGGAACGAUUUAGAAAAUCUAUAUAUUUUUGGGACGUUUCCCUCUUUCCACGAGGCCACUUUUACUACACUUGAGUCUGAUCUUGCGUUCAGGAACAAUAGCCAUUUCAACAAUAGACUUGAGUAGCCUUCUACCGGGCAGAAAGACAAGCGGAUAUAUAGGUCAGGACUGAGGAGUAAUCCUGGUUGACAAUGAAUAUUACUCCGUUUUUUUUUCUUUCUUCUUCUCUCUCUGUUGUUGUUGAUCGUAACAAGCCCAUUAAAAUGCAUCGAUUUUUUUGGGGGGGGGGAGAAAAUAAAUGCAUCGAAAUCCCUUGAUCCGAAUGGCUGAUCAGUGUUGCACAUGUCAACACGCGUGUUCCAGCCAAUGCCUGAUUAGCUUUUUAGGUCAGUCACUUUGUUAGACCACUGUCCUGUGUCUUAUCAUUGUAGUAUUACACAACAACAACAACAACAACAACAAAAACAAGAAACAAUAGUAUUGAACCUUCACAAUAUUUAUCUGUCUCUCUCUCCCCGUCCUGCUGAGAGAAAGACGCACAAAGACCAACAGAGAAAGAUAAAGAGGUUGAGAGUUACAAGCUAGCUGCGUGUGUUUGUCAUGUCGCACGUGUGUGUCCACCACUACCGUGCAUGCAGUCUGUCUCUCCGUUACAGGCAGGUUAUUGGGCGUUUCAGGGCUGGCGUUAGCUGUUCUUGCAUAAGCCUGCGACUGAGUGGGAUGACUGGGAUCACUGUAUUGACGAAUACAUAAUACCAAACCCACAGGAGUGUAGUGCUGGGCGUGCAGCCGCAUCAAAACGCCACACACAUAUUCACUGGAUAUUAGCCUCCAAAUCCAUCUAAGCCACCAGCGACCAGGCAGAAAACCAGCCAAUCGAUGGUCUGAGGGGGAAAAAAGAGCUUUACCUUCCAAACAGCCCAAUAUUUAUCUGAACACAGGAAGCCAUCACGGGGCUUUUUCAUGCCACGUAUUGACGUGUGUUAAGACGGAAAAGCGUUUACGCUUUGUCAUCGGAUAAUUUCCAGUUGCUGCUGGGGAAUAUCACUAUCAUUACAGCAGUAUUGCUUCCUUCUUCCCCAUCUUGGUUAUCCUGGCUGUCAAAGUAGCCAUUUGUUCACAAUGGUAAAAACACACACAUUUCAAGUUUCAAGUACAGUGAAAUGCCUUUGUUGCAAACUCAAAACUCGACCAUGNNNNNNNNNNAACAGAGAGGGCAGAAGAGAGUGAGGGAGAUUCACACCCAGAGCUGUAAAAAAGCAAUUUUGAGGCUUAUGUUCCCUUAAAAUGGUUGUCUGCUGUCACUAUCAUUAUCAGAGAGAGAAAGACCUUCUCACUUCUGGUCAGUCUGUACACGCCUCCAGCAACCCCUGAAAUCACAACAACCCAGCUCUCCAAAACUGCUGACUAUUAUUAGGCCUGGGAGAGAUGAGUUCUCAGGGGUGUGGCUGAAGUCUUUUUUUUUUUUAAAUCUCUGCUGCAAAUUGAUACAUUUCCAGCUACGGCUCCUUAUUGCAUUCCAGGCAGAGAAAGAGGAUGUUUCUCUUGAAAUGUUUAAAAAAUAAUAAUAAUAUUCAGACCUCAUGGUUUUGGUCUAUGAGUUUUGGAACGAUUUAGAAAAUCUAUAUAUUUUUGGGACGUUUCCCUCUUUCCACGAGGCCACUUUUACUACACUUGAGUCUGAUCUUGCGUUCAGGAACAAUAGCCAUUUCAACAAUAGACUUGAGUAGCCUUCUACCGGGCAGAAAGACAAGCGGAUAUAUAGGUCAGGACUGAGGAGUAAUCCUGGUUGACAAUGAAUAUUACUCCGUUUUUUUUUCUUUCUUCUUCUCUCUCU
rnacentral:lncRNA from 13 species